rnacentral:lncRNA from 10 species
AGAAAAUUGAAACAGAACCCCUUUCUCAUACCUUAUACAAAAAUUAACUCAAGAUGGAUUAAAGACUUAAGUGUAAAACCCAAACCUAUACAAACCCUAGAAGAAAAUCUAGGCGAUACCACCACGGACAAAGAUAUCAUGGUGAAAAUAUCAAAAGCAACUGCAACAAAAGCAAAAAUUGACAACUGGGAUCUAAUUAAACUAUAGAGCUUCUGCGCAACAAAAGAAACUAUCAUCAGAGUGAAGAGACAACCUACAGAAUGGGAGAAAAUGUUUGCAUGUUUGCAAUCUAUCCAUCUGACAAGGGUCUAAUAUCCAGAAUCUACAAGAAGCUUAAACAAAUUUACAAGAAUAAAACAAACAACACCAUUAAAAACUGGGCAAAGGACAUGAACACACACUUCCCAAAAGAAGAUGUUUAUGAGGCCAACAAACAUAUAAAAAAAAGUUCAACAACACUGAUCAUUAGAGAAAUGGAAAUCCAAACCACAAUGCGAUACAGUCUCACACCAAUCAGAAUGGUGAUUAUUAAAAAGUCAAGAAACAACAGAUGCUGUUUGAGGCUGUGGAGAAAUAGGAACAAUUUUACACUGUUGGCAGGAAUAUAAAUUAUUUCAACCAUUGUGGAAGAUGGUGUGGCGAUUCCAGCAUCAGGUUGUACUGACACUGGAGAUAAAAGUCUAUUCCUUUUACUAUAUUAAAAUCCUUAAUUAUUUGAAGACAGCAUUAAGCUGAACAUCACCAGUUUCUUUAACCUUUCCCUCAUCCUGUUUGCUCACACCUGGACCUAUGUGAGUUGGCCAGUGCCCUCCCACAGUAAGCCAACAGACCCUGCCACAGUUCUGGGAGUGCAUGUUUGAAAUGAAAAUGGAAAUUAGCCCAGGCACGGUGGCUCACGCCUGCAAUCCCAGCACUCUGGGAGGCUGAGGCAGGUGGAUCAUUUGAGGUAAGGAAUUUGAGACCAGCCUUCCCAACAUGGUGAAACCUCGUCUCUACUAAAAACACAAAAAUUUACCGGGUGUGGUGGCAGGUGCCUGUAAUCCCAGUUACUUGAGAGGCUGAAAAGAGAAUCACUUGAGCCCAGGAGGUGGCGGCUACAGUGAGGCGAGAUCAUGUCACUGCACUCCAGCCUGGCCGAUAGAGCAACUGCUCUCAAAAAGAAAAAAAAAAAAAAGAAAGGAAGAAAGAAAGAAAAAAAAGAAAAUGAAAAUUAAUGGGAAAAUGUGGCUGUGUAUAAACUUUCACUGACAGACACAUUUUCUGACAGAGCCACGUGGUGAU